UACGUAGGGGGCUAGCGUUGUCCGGAUUUAUUGGGCGUAAAGAGCUCGUAGGCGGUUUGUCGCGUCUGCUGUGAAAACUCGGGGCUUAACUCCGGGCCUGCAGUGGGUACGGGCAGACUAGAGUGCGGUAGGGGAGACUGGAAUUCCUGGUGUAGCGGUGAAAUGCGCAGAUAUCAGGAGGAACACCGGUGGCGAAGGCGGCAUCCUGGACCGAGAUUGACGCUGAUGAGCGAAAGCUAGGGGAGCAAACGGG
rnacentral:rRNA from 1 species